rnacentral:rRNA from 1 species
CAGUAGCCGCGGUAAUACAGAGGGUGCGAGCGUUAAUUGGAUUUACUGGGCGUAAAGCGUGCGUAGGCGGCUUUUUAAGUCGGAUGUGAAAUCCCUGAGCUUAACUUAGGAAUUGCAUUCGAUACUGGGAAGCUAGAGUAUGGGAGAGGAUGGUAGAAUUCCAGGUGUAGCGGUGAAAUGCGUAGAGAUCUGGAGGAAUACCGAUGGCGAAGGCAGCCAUCUGGCCUAAUACUGACGCUGAGGUACGAAAGCAUGGGGAGCAAACAGGAUUAGAUACCCCGGUAGUCCCUGUCUCUUAUAC